rnacentral:rRNA from 1 species
UACGUAGGGUGCAAGCGUUAAUCGGAAUUACUGGGCGUAAAGCGCGCGCAGGCGGAUGUUUAAGUAGGGCGUGAAAUCUCCCGGCCUAACUGGGAGGGGUCGCUCUAGACUGGGCGUCUUGAGGACUGCAGAGGUGGGUGGAAUUCCUGGUGUAGAGGUGAAAUUCGUAGAUAUCGAGAAGAACACCGGUGGCGAAGGCGGCCAACUGGACGGUGACUGACACUGAGACGCGAAAGCGUGGGGAGCAAACAGG